GUUUGAUUAUGGCUCAGGUGAACAUGGCGGGAUACUUUACGUAAGUCGAACGGCAGCACGGACUUCGGUCUGGUGGCGAGUAGCGAACGGGUGAAGGUAAUGUAUCGGAACGUUCCUAGUAGCGGGGAUAACUACGCGGCGUAGCUAAUACCGCAUCGCCCUUCGGGGAAAAGCGGGGGGACCUUCAGGCCUCGCACUGUUAGGCGGCCGAUAUCGGAUUGAAAGCUAGUUGGUGGGGUAACGGCUCACCAAGGCGACGAUCCGUGGCUGGUUUGAGAGGGACGACCAGCCACUGGGACUGGACACGGCCCAGACUCCUACGGGAGGCAGCAGUGGGGAAUUUUGGACAAUGGGGAAACCCUGAUCCAGCCAUCCCGCGUGUGCCGAUGAAGACGCUUCCGGGUUGCUGGCACCUUUUGGCGGAAAAGAAACAGCACGGGAUAUUACCCCGUGCAACUGACGGUACCUGCAGGGUCGCGCAGCUAACUACGUGCCAAGCCGCUUGAUAUUUUUGCCAAGUGCAGCGUUAAUCGGAAUUACUGGGCGUAAAGCGAUGCGCGAGCGGUUCGGAAGAAAAGAUGUGAAAUCCCAGAGCUUAACGGAACUGCAUUUUUAACUACCGAGCUAAGAGGUAUUAGAGGAGGUGGAAUUCCCGCGAUGUAGCGAUGCGUAGAUAUGCGGAGGAACACCGAUGGCGAAGAGCGGCCAUCCUGGGAUAACACUGACGCUCAGCCCUUGCAGCGUGGGAGCAGGCAGGUUGAUCACCUGGUAGUCACGCCCCUAAACAAUGUCAGCCGCUGUUGAGGCCUUCAGGCAACGGUAGCCACAACUAACGCGUGAGAUUGACCGCUAUAGGUACGGUCGCAAGAUUAAAACUCAAAGGAAUUGACGGGGAUUACACAAGCGAUGGAUGAUGUAAGUUAAUUCGAUGCAACACGAAAACCUUGCCUACCCUUGACAUGUCUAGGAGAAAUCCCGAAGAGAUUUGGGAAUUGCUCCGCAGGGGCGGAACACAGGUGCUGCAUGGCUGUCGUCAGCUCGUGUGUCGUGAAGAUGUUAGGUUAGAAUCCGCAACGAGCGCAGCCCUUGUCAUUAGUUGCUACGAAGACACUAUUGAGACUGCCGUGUGACAAACCGGAGGAAGGUGAGGAUGACGUCAAGCCUCAUGGCCGCUAUGGGUAGGAGCUUCACACGUCAUACAAUGGUCGGGACGGUCGCCAACCCGCGAGGGCCAAUCCCAGAAACUUGAUCGUAGUCGGAUCGCAGUCUGCAACUCGACUGCGUGAAGUCGGAAUCGCUAGUAAUCGCGGAUCAGCAUGUCGCGGUGAAUACGUUCCGGGUCUUGUACACACCGCCCGUCCCUUACCAUGUGGAGUAGGUUUACAGAAAUGAAUUAGCCUAACCGUAAGGAGAGCGAUUACUACAGUAGGAUUCAUGACUGGGGUGAAGUCGUAACAAGGUAG
rnacentral:rRNA from 1 species